UGAGAAUGUGCCUUCGGGAACCGUGAGACAGGUGCUGCAUGGCUGUCGUCAGCUCGUGUUGUGAAAUGUUGGGUUAAGUCCCGCAACGAGCGCAACCCUUAUCCUUUGUUGCCAGCGGUCCGGCCGGGAACUCAAAGGAGACUGCCAGUGAUAAACUGGAGGAAGGUGGGGAUGACGUCAAGUCAUCAUGGCCCUUACGACCAGGGCUACACACGUGCUACAAUGGCGCAUACAAAGAGAAGCGACCUCGCGAGAGCAAGCGGACCUCAUAAAGUGCGUCGUAGUCCGGAUUGGAGUCUGCAACUCGACUCCAUGAAGUCGGAAUCGCUAGUAAUCGUGGAUCAGAAUGCCACGGUGAAUACGUUCCCGGGCCUUGUACACACCGCCCGUCACACCAUGGGAGUGGGUUGCAAAAGAAGUAGGUAGCUUAACCUUCGGGAGGGCGCUUA
rnacentral:rRNA from 1 species